UUGGGGAUGAUAAAGGAGCGAUGAUACCAGAAUGAGGUCAAAGAGCACGGCCUGGUCAACUUUGACGAACUCGUCGUCCCAGAUUUUGAGCUCGUCCUCGUCUUCGGUCUUGGGGAUGUCAACGUGCUUCUUGCAGUACUCGAUGACCUUGGCGAGGAUCUUGCUGGUGACAUUGGGGAGAGGAAUGACGCUGUCGGGGCAGUUGUACUCGAUCAGGGGCUUGAUCGUCUGCGACUGCAGCGCCACCGCCUCCUCCACCUCGAAAGCUUCGCUGUCCGAGCUUAUCAGUGUUAUCUUCUGCGAUGAAGCCAUCAAGAUCCCUAACCCUAACCCUAACCCUAACCCUAACCCCUCUCUCUCUCAAUAGAUGGAUGAGUGAGAAAAUGGGGAAUGUGGUGGGCCGCUUAGUUGAAUAGGUCGAAGUGUGGUUGGAUGCAAGCUGGAUGCAUUGUAGAAGAAAGGGUUAAAUAUAUUUGGCCCCUCAAAGCAUUGACCAAUUCCCACAUUGUAGAACAAAUAAUUUUUGUAGAUUGUACCCUAGUGGAUUAUAUCGUUUGCACCAGCCCCAAUGGGCAAUGGCCGUUCAACAUUUUGACAGAAAUUAUCACGUGGC
rnacentral:lncRNA from 1 species